UUUAUUGGCUGGGGGAGGAACACAUGAACUCCUAAGGGCUAAUACAAGCAUUUGGGAAAUUAUCUGUUGUCUGGCGUCAGCACUGGAACAGGGCAGCAGAGCUGGAGAGUAAGAAGCAGAGCUGGAGAGGAAGAAGUGUUUGCUAAGUCACCGCGCAGGAGGAGACAGAAUCAGAGGUGACGAAUGAACUCUAGAGGUCCCUGCAGUUAUGAAGAACUAAUUAAAGGCAUGAAAUGUUCCUCUGCAAGUUUCAUUGACCAUAUUGGGCCUACAGUCCAUUUCCAAAUAAAUAUCUAAGGUAAGAAAAAUAUGGGACUCCCCACAGACUACUUAUCUACCAGAUGGUGUGGGGUUUGGAUGGAUGUUUUCAGUUACUUCAGCAAUUUUUUCAUUAAUUCAGUAUUUAUUGAGAACCUAAUGUAUGCCAAGCUUGUAAAAUGCAGUGGGGGGUAUGACCUAUUCCCAGGUCUCUGGACUCUGGCAGAAUGGUAGAGAAGAUGCUGUCGGGCUUGCAUGUUCAGAACACCGUGUCUUAGGUGACCUCCCGGGCCUUUGGAGGCCCAACCCCAGGGUGGCGGGAUAGCCAGGUGAGGCUUUGUUUGGCCUGUUCACG
rnacentral:lncRNA from 10 species